UACGAAGGGUGCAAGCGUUACUCGGAAUUACUGGGCGUAAAGCGUGCGUAGGUGGUUUGCUAAGUCUGCUGUGAAAGCCCGGGGCUCAACCCCGGAAUUGCCUUUGAGACUGCAUCGCUAGAAUUGUGGAGAGGUAAGUGGAAUUCCGAGUGUAGAGGUGAAAUUCGUAGAUAUUCGGAAGAACACCAGUGGCGAAGGCGACUUACUGGACACAUAUUGACGCUGAGGUGCGAAAGCGUGGGGAGCAAACAGGG
rnacentral:rRNA from 1 species